UGUUUUUCAACAAAAUUUUGUGUCAGGCACUGUUCAGUGCACCGAUGGUAGGGGAAUGAAUGAGAUAGUCUCAACAUCUAGAAGUUUGCCAUCUACUCCAGGGAGACAAGUGUAAUAAAGUGUGUUUCAGACACAACCUCAAAGCAAAGAGGAACCUCUCCAAGAACUUGAGCAGUUCAGAUGCAAGCCUGAUCCAUCUCCUUACCUUCCUUCCUCAGAGACAACUACUAUCAAGAAUCUGGAAUAAGGUCAGAGGACCCAAAAGCUUCUUUCCCGUUGUGAGAGAGCGGGAGUCUCUAGAGCCACCCAGUGUGAAUUCUCGGUGAGCUUCCAGGUGACUGGCUAUUGUCCUCACAAGUUAAGAAGGCAAAAGUAUUUUUAAACACAAUAAGAAGGCUCAAGUAUUGUUAAACACAAGCAGAAAGCCCUCCUAGAUAAA